AAGUCGUAACAAGGUUUCCGUAGGUGAACCUGCGGAAGGAUCAUUAAUGAUUUUUAAAGCGAGUCGAGCGUUAAGCGAGGCUUGCGAAAAAUAUUUAAAACCCCACUCUUUUUAACUUUAAAAUAUAAAUCAUGAUACAUGAAUUUAAAAAAAAAGAUCACUUUCAACAACGGAUCUCUUGGCUCUC
rnacentral:misc_RNA from 1 species